ensembl:snRNA U6 U6 spliceosomal RNA
GUGCUCACUUCAGCAGCACAAAUACUAAAAUUUGAACGGUACAGAGAUUCUUAUGGCCCCUGAGCAAGGAUAACAUGCAAAUUUGUGAAAUGUUCCAUAUUAAA